rnacentral:rRNA from 1 species
GGCCCAUGACGGUACCGUAAGAAUAAGCACCGGCUAACUACGUGCCAGCAGCCGCGGUAAUACGUAGGGUGCAAGCGUUAAUCGGAAUUACUGGGCGUAAAGCGUGCGCAGGCGGUUAUAUAAGACAGAUGUGAAAUCCCCGGGCUCAACCUGGGACCUGCAUUUGUGACUGUAUAGCUAGAGUACGGUAGAGGGGGAUGGAAUUCCGCGUGUAGCAGUGAAAUGCGUAGAUAUGCGGAGGAACACCGAUGGCGAAGGCAAUCCCCUGGACCUGUACUGACGCUCAUGCACGAAAGCGUGGGGAGC